rnacentral:misc_RNA from 1 species
GGUGGUACUGUGUGGCCGAUCUGGGGAAGGGCGGAGGCGAGUGAUUAGUGAACUUGUUAAAGCUAUGUCUUCAUUCUUAUUCUUGGAGAGCAAUUCAAGUAAAAGCACGUUAGUGCCUGAUAAAAAGGUUUUUGCAUUUGCUGAUUUGGUGUAUUCUAUUUUGUCAAAAANNNNNNNNNNGGCAACUUACCUGCUUCUGGAUGUUCACCGGAUAUAGCAAAAAGCAUGAUAGAUGGGGGGAUGGUGCAGGGUCUAACAGGUAUUCUGCAGGUAAUUGAUUUGGACCAUCCUGAUGCUCCCAAGAUUGUUAAUCUUCUACUCAAGGCUUUGGAAAGCCUGACGAGAGCUGCUAAUGCCAGUGAACAAGUUCUUAAAUCUGAGGGUCUGAACAAGAAGAAAACCAUUGGAUCAAAUGGAAGACCAGAUGAUCAAACAACCACAUCAGCUUCCGAGGCAGUAGAACAUAACCAAAAUAGUGGCUUAGCAGAAGUUCCAAAUGGAGAGGAGACUG